CAGCCGCCGCGGUAAUACCGGCGGCCCGAGUGGCGGUCACUAAUAUUGGGCUUAAAGCGUCCGUAGCCGGGUUGGGAAGUCCUCCGGGAAAUCUGGCCGCUUAACGGUCAGAAUGCCGGAGGAUACUCCCAGCCUAGGGAGCGGGAGAGGCCGAGGGGAUUCCCGGGGUAGGGGGGAAAUCCUAUAAUCCCGGGAGGACCACCUGUGGCGAAGGCGCUCGGCUGGAACGCGUCCGACGGUGAGGGACGAAGGCCAGGGGAGCAAACCGGAUUAGAUACCCGGGUAGUCCUGGCUGUAAACGAUGCGGACUUUGUGUCGGACAAGCUAUGAGCUUGUCCGGUGCCGGAGGGAAACCGUUAAGUCCGCCGCCUGGGGAGUACGGCCGCAAGGCUGAAACUUAAAGGAAUUGGCGGG
rnacentral:rRNA from 1 species